ACUGGAAUGUGAAAGGCCACAGAGACAGUGUAUAGCCAGACAACUGGAUGUUUCAGCUGAGAUCAUGACUGUCUGCCUGAACUCUCCCAGGUCCAUGCUGAUGACAGCACCAAAAACCCUGGGAAAUAUCACACAAGCUCCAGUCAAUGGUUGACUUGAUCUGGGCUAACACACCCAAGUGGGAGGAACUGGACAAAGAGAGACAACACAGCCAGAGCGAGUCCAAACCCACAAGCCCUUGCAGCAGUGACACCGCAGAAACAAGAAGUUGUUCUUUGGGUGACACACCUUGCUGUGCAGGUGACCCUCCUAAACUAGCAAGCAAACUCCUGCUACCUUUCCAGGCAAUCUUUCCUCUACCUCUUAGCUUCUUCACUCUUCACCACAGCAUGAAAAAUACCAAUCUUUCCUCUACCUCUUAGCUUCUUCACUCUUCACCGCAGCAUGAAAAAUACCAAUCUUUCCUCUACCUCUUAGCUUCUUCACUCUUCACCGCAGCAUGAAAAAUACCAAUCUUUCCUCUACCUCUUAGCUUCUUCACUCUUCACCGCAGCAUGAAAAAUAGGCAUUGCAGCGCAUUCAUAGAUUGACCAGGUGAAUCCAGGUGAAAGCUAUGAUCCCUUAUUGAUGUCACUUGUUAAAUCCACUUCAAUCAGAGUAGAUGAAGGGGACAGAGACAGGUUUUUAAGCCUUGAGACAAUUGUGUGCCAUUCAGAAGGGGCAAGACAAAAUAUUUGAGUGCCUUUGAACAGGGUAUUGUAGUAGGUGCCAGGUGCACCAAUUUGAGUGUGUCAAGAACUGCAAUGCUGCUGGGUUUUUCACGCUCAACAGUUUCCCUGUGUGUAUCAAGAAUGAUCCACCACCUAAAGGACAUCAAGAAAACUUGACAACUGUAGGAAGCAUUGGAGUCAACAUGGGCCAGCAUCCCUGUGGAACUCUUAACACACCUUGUAGUGUCCAUGACCUGACGAAUUGAG
rnacentral:lncRNA from 1 species